UAGGGAAUCUUCCACAAUGGACGAAAGUCUGAUGGAGCAACGCCGCGUGAGUGGUGAAGGGUUUCGGCUCGUAAAACUCUGUUGUUGGAGAAGAACAGGUGUGAGAGUAACUGUUCACAUCUUGACGGUAUCCAACCAGAAAGCCACGGCUAACUACGUGCCAGCAGCCGCGGUAAUACGUAGGUGGCAAGCGUUGUCCGGAUUUAUUGGGCGUAAAGCGAGCGCAGGCGGUUUCUUAGGUCUGAUGUGAAAGCCUUCGGCUUAACCGGAGAAGUGCAUCGGAAACCAGGAGACUUGAGUGCAGAAGAGGACAGUGGAACUCCAUGUGUAGCGGUGAAAUGCGUAGAUAUAUGGAAGAACACCAGUGGCGAAGGCGGCUGUCUGGUCUGUAACUGACGCUGAGGCUCGAAAGCAUGGGUAGCGAACAGGAUUAGAUACCCUGGU
rnacentral:rRNA from 1 species